UACGUAGGGGGCAAGCGUUGUCCGGAUUUAUUGGGCGUAAAGAGCGUGUAGGCGGCUAGGUAGGUCCGUUGUGAAAACUCGAGGCUCAACCUCGAGACGUCGAUGGAAACCAUCUAGCUAGAGUCCGGAAGAGGAGAGUGGAAUUCCGGGUGGAGCGGUGAAAUGCGUAGAGAUCCGGAGGAACACCGACGGCGCAGGCAGCGUCCUGGCCGCUUGCUGACACUGAGGCACGAAAGCUGGGGGAGCAAACAGG
rnacentral:rRNA from 1 species